rnacentral:rRNA from 1 species
GGGAAACCGGAGCUAAUACAGGAUAAUAUUUUGAACCGCAUGGUUCAAAAGUGAAAGACGGUCUUGCUGUCACUUAUAGAUGGAUCCGCGCUGCAUUAGCUGGUUGGUAAGGUAACGGCUUACCAAGGCAACGAUGCAUAGCCGACCUGAGAGGGUGAUCGGCCACACUGGAACUGAGACACGGUCCAG